rnacentral:rRNA from 1 species
GACGAACGCUGGCGGCGUGCUUAACACAUGCAAGUCGAACGGAAAGGCCCUGCUUUUGUGGGGUGCUCGAGUGGCGAACGGGUGAGUAACACGUGAGUAACCUGCCCUUGACUUUGGGAUAACUUCAGGAGACUGGGGCUAAUACCGGAUAGGAACUCCUGCUGCAUGGUGGGGGUUGGAAAGUUUCGGCGGUUGGGGAUGGACUCGCGGCUUAUCAGCUUGUUGGUGGGGUAGUGGCUUACCAAGGCUUUGACGGGUAGCCGGCCUGAGAGGGUGACCGGCCACAUUGGGACUGAGAUACGGCCCAGACUCCUACGGGAGGCAGCAGUGGGGAAUAUUGCACAAUGGGCGGAAGCCUGAUGCAGCAACGCCGCGUGCGGGAUGACGGCCUUCGGGUUGUAAACCGCUUUCGCCUGUGACGAAGCGUGAGUGACGGUAAUGGGUAAAGAAGCACCGGCUAACUACGUG